UACGGAGGGUGCAAGCGUUGUCCGGAUUCAUUGGGUUUUAAGGGUGCGCAGGCGGGCCAUUUAAGUCAGGGGGUGAAAGACGGUUGCUCAACAAUCGCAGUGCCUUUGAUACUGGUGGUCUUUGGGGUGACCUUGAGGUAGGCGGAAUGGGUGGUGUAGCGGUGAAAUGCAUAGAUACCACCCAGAACUCCGAUUGCGAAGGCAGCCUACUGGAGGUUCACCGACGCUCAGGCACGAAAGCGUGGGGAUCAAACAGG
rnacentral:rRNA from 1 species